rnacentral:lncRNA from 1 species
GCGUCUGCAUCUUUAUACUUUUUUUCCUUAUAUAAAGUGGUGUGAUAUUAUACUUUAUGAAAUAUUAUCAAUUAGAUAAAUCUCAAAUUGUUCCAUAUACCUUCAAGCACUUGACAAUGAUAUCUUAAUACAUUAUAAAUUCAAAAGAUUAUAAUCUAAAUGAUUAAGAACAUGAAGUCUACAAAUGUUAAUGUAGACUUUCAAAAUAUAUCCAAGUGUUAUAACUAAUAGUUAACUUAUCUCAUUACAAUAAACAAGACAUAAUCUUCCAUCUUUCCAUGCUUGAAUAAAGGUAGGUCUUCAUCAAAUUCUUCAAGUUGAAUAUCAUGAAAGUCAUAAUCUUAGAGCUCAUUUUGAGGAUCAUCUUCAUGUCUAACCUAAAAAGGAUCAUCUAGGUUCGUAUUUUAAUAAAAAGGAUCAUCUAGAUUAAGGCUUUACCCAAAUAUCUCAAAUAAAAGCGACUUCACAAGUGAUUUUUUUUCCGAAAGAAAUGAAAUUCCAUUAAAUAAAGGCAGUACAACCGACGUAUCGCUUAAAACCACAAAUCAAGUACAAAAAGAGCUCAAAGGGAUUAGCCCAUGUUUUACACCUUCAAUACAAAUAAACACUACUAAACAGCAAGAGAGGCAAUGGGGACUAUAAAAUAUUUAAUAAUCCCUCCUACUCAGUUGAUAGCUAAGGAAGAAUUCACACCCACCAGUAAGGCCCAAAGAAAACCCAGCGGAGCAGAUGAUACUUGACAUCCAACCAGGACUCGUGGGAAGAAUAGAGGAAGCAAGCUCGGUCAUGGGAAGUUUCCCAAGAAACAGGGGUGAAAUGGCAAACUCUAUCAAAAAAGCGCAGCGGGGGUGAAACGGCAAACUCUAUCAAAAGAGAACUAAAGAAGAUGAUGGAUUAAGGUCCAUUGUUCUAGUACAUCUUCACAUUCUUAAAAAAUAAAUAUAAUUACCAUUUAUUUCGGUGUAGGAUUGAGAAAUUUGAAUUUAUUUUAUACGAAGAAUCUUCAAACAAGGGUUAAAAUGUAGAUUCUUAUAUGUAUUCAUAGUAAAUUUUAAUAAAUUAUAUUUUAUCCUUUU